UCCUAUUUACAUUUGGGUCUGAGGGAUGGUAAAUAGAUUUCCCUCCACUUUAUUACUAUUUUUUUCCUGAUGGAGAGGCUGAUUCCCACGACUUAAAUAUCUUCAAUCAAUCAAUUAUUGGGCUUUUAUAUGUAUGGAUAGAUUUUAGUCACGGUUUCCGAAUGUUUCCAUCUAUUUCCAAGUUCCUUUUUUCGUUUCUUUCUAUAGUCUUUUUGAAACAUUAAUGUUUCCAUGCAUACUGACAUGACACUGGGUUGGAAUUUUGAUCCUUGCUGUUGUAAGGUAAUCUUUUUAAAAACCAAUAUCUACUCAUUAAUGAAUGAACAAAAAUGAAAAGAAAAAAUCAUCUCGAACAACAAAGACCUGGUAGUUCUUCAUCUUUAUAUGUGUAUGUGUGUAUUUACUCAUCUUUAUGUGUAUGUGUGUAUGUUUCUUUAUAUUUGUUGGUGGAAUUGAGGUAAUGCUUCUCUAUGCAUUUGAAUUCAAAAACAUAUAUUUGUAGAGCUCUUCAUGGGCAUCUUCUUACUGUCUGCCUUUGCUGUAAUUAGUAAUAUAGAAUUCAACUGUUGACUCACUGGAAUUGGUUUCAAUGUUUUUGGUUUUUGGUUUCUUCUUUUGCUUUUAAAGUUAUGAUUUUGGGGGAUAUGGUUAGACUUCUCAAGACAGUUUUUGGGUUAGGAUUUAUUUUAUUUUAUUUUUUAUGUUGUUAUUAAAUUUCAUCACCUUUGGAUACUUUGACCAUUUUAAUUAUUUUCUUGUGUAUCAGACUUCAAUAUAGUAAUAAUAUCCUUCUGAGGUGGUCCACUUAUCCUGAUGAGCUGAGCUGACCCUUUUUCUUCUCUCUUUUGUGUUGUUGAAUAGUUUUGACAAUUUUAUGCAACUUGUGAUUGGUACAUUAUGAACACCCAUGAGCUGAGUUGAGCUAACCUGGAGCUGAGCUGCACCUUUGGACUCUAUUUCGUCUUCGCUUGCCAAUUGCUCCUCCUCCAACCACUCAUCUUUGGCCUAGGGAAGUACAUAUAUUUUUCUUGCAAAGAUUGACAAUUUACUUGGGGUGAUCCCAACUAUAUGUAUGGAUCAGUUCUGAUUCAAUUGAGAUGGGAAUAUCCUGGCUUAAUACUCGAGCAUUAUGAACUCUGAAGUCUAAAGAAAAGUGAAAACUGAUUCAGGGUGAUCCAGGGCUAAAGACAGGGUGUUCAUAGUGAACACUCACCUUACCAAUUUACGGGUAUUCAGAGUUUGUUUUGCUUGCCGCCAAGGAUAAAGAGUGGUUACCUGCAGUGAGGCAUAAUAAGUUUCCAAAUAGAGUCUCAACAUGCAAAUGUUGGAGCUUGAUAUACAUUUUAAGCCCAUUCCUGGACAGCUUAAGCUUUUGAGGUAAUUGGUUACAUAACAGUACAAUUUACUGUUGUAGAUUAAUAAGCUUUUCUAGUCAAAAGUAACUUGUGAGUACCUAAAGUAACAAGGCAUUGGAAUCGUGGAGGGUUUCUGUCUCAUUUCAUUAGUGAAAUAAAGCUUCAAAGAGUUGCUAUUUAUGAGCGAGUAUUAAGAGAGUUCCAAUGUAAGGCUGGUUUAAAGAUUUCAGUUAUUUGCUUUCAUGAUGUCCUACUUUAACGGGCAUGACUCCUUUUGGAUUGUGAUUGCAGUGUUGACAAGCAAUGCAACUUUUCCAGACAAGAUACCAUCGUCUAGCUCUUCUUUGUUUGAUCAGCAAUCAACUGACGCAUCUUCCUCUGGACUCAAAUGAAUGAGCUAACGGAGCACAUGGAGGCAGCAACUUUUGCACCCUCGAACCCAUUAUAUAGACAGCAGGUUGCUGAUUCACUUAGUAGUCAUCCCACUGUUCGGCCAAUGUCACAUCAACAACAAUCUCCUGCAUUUUCAUCCCAAG